AUUGAACGCUGGCGGCAGGCCUAACACAUGCAAGUCGAGCGGAGCGGCGGACGGGUGAGUAAUGACUAGGAAUCUGCAUGGUCGUGGGGGAUAACGUCCGCAAACGGGCGCUAAUACCACAUACUAUCAGAUGAGCCUAGGGCGGAUUAGCUAGUGGGUGGGGGAAAGGCAUACCAAGGCGCCGAUCCGUAACUGGCCUGAGAGGAUGAGCAGUCAAACUGGAUCUGAGACACGGUCCAGACUCCUACGGGAGGCAGCAGUGGGGAAUAUUGGACAAUGGGCGAAAGCCUGAUCCAGCCAUGCCGCGUGUGUGAAGAAGGUCUUCGGAUUGUAAAGCACUUUAAGUUGGGAGGCGUUACCAACAGAAUAAGCACCGGCUAACUUCGUGCCAGCAGCCGCGGUAAUAC
rnacentral:rRNA from 1 species